AGGUGAGGGGGGGACCCGGGUGUGGGGAGCCAGGUGAGGGGUUAACAGGUGAGGAGCUCAUUAGGGCUCAUUAGUGGUCAUUAGAGCUCAUUAGAGCUCAUUAGGAUGGUGGAGGAGCUGGGGGGUCAGCAGGUGAGGGGAGCCAGGUGAGGAAGCUCAUUAGGGCUCAUUAAGGCUCAUUAAGUCUCAUUAGGAUGGUGGAGCAGCUGGGGGGUCAGCAGGUGAGAGGAGCCAGGUGAGGGGGCUCAUUCGGGCUCCUUACUGCUCAUUAGAGCUCAUUAGAGCUCAUUAGAGCUCAUUAGG